AGACAACGGAAGGCGCAGAAACAACACUCUCAAAUCUCAUUCUCUUCGUCUUUCUACAGAGCGCUUUGUUUGAUCUUUCUGUAAUAAUGGCUCAACAAAACGAUACGGUGUCAUCUAGCUCUAAUCAAUCUUCUUCUUCUACUACUACUCAAAGUUCUCCUCUCGACCCCCUCAACAAGCAACCCCAGGUGCCUCCAUUCUCUGGCUUCCCAGCAUAUGGUGAUUUUCAGAUGUAUCCUAUAGUUUACCCUGCGCUAGUUCCAGGGUUAACUCAUUUGCAAAAUCAGGAACAGAUGAAUCGUGGGGCGGGCAUUUAUGCAGUGCCAGUUCCACCAUUUAUGGGGCCAAUUGCUGGACUUCCAUCAAGUACUCUUAUUCCUCUUACUUAUAAUAUACCCAC
rnacentral:misc_RNA from 1 species